UUAACUAAAACCAAAAGCAUUCCACCGCUAAAACCAAAACCCUUCCCACGUUCUACGACUUCUACCUCUUCCUUCCUUCUCCCACCACGAUUUACACGGUUAAGGAUCUGUUACCAAUUGAAUUCAAGAGUUUAAUUCCAAUCCGAAUUCAAAAGUUUAAUCCCAAUCCAACUCGACUCAAAGCGAAAUUUCUCAAAUCCAAAUUUACAGAUUUCACUUCAAUCUAAAUCCAGAUAUUUUCGUAUUUAUCUUCUUCUCCAGCGAUUGUUUCUCGGCGGAGAAUAAUAUCUGGCGAACAUUUUUCCCGGAUUCUUGUGGUUGAAUUAUCAAUUGGUUUCCCACCAUUACCGAUUUAGGAGUUUGUUCAGCAUCUAACACCUUCUCAAUCGAGUGUCCUGCACAAGGAAAAAGAAAUUGGAGACUCAAGUGAAGCCGACUAGCAGAGUAUGAGAAGGCUAACAACAGAAAUGAUGAUGAUGAAGAUGAAGAUGAAGAUGAAGAGGAUGCCACAAGAAUCUGCACUCUUAUUCGCUUGAUAAAGCGCCGAUAACUGACUAACUGGAGAAUCAGAUGACUAUGGAGCUAUUGGGUGAUCUUUGUUUUAUCUGGCGGAUGCUUAUCUUCAUUGAGUGAGGUGUGGCGUUUGUGUUUUUUUUUUCUGUCUUUUAACUUCCUUCAAAAUACAUAUUUGCUGCUGCAUUUCCAUGUAGUUCAACUUCUAGGUAUAUGGUCCAUUUCUACCUUGGCUUUGAGUUAA